rnacentral:rRNA from 1 species
CCUACGGGAGGCUGCAGUGAGGAAUAUUGGUCAAUGGCCGGAAGGCUGAACCAGCCAUGCCGCGUGAAGGUCAGUGCCCUAUGGGCGUUAAACUUCUUUUGUGCGGGAGCAAUAAUGGUCACGUGUGGCCAGACGAGAGUACCGUACGAAUAAGCAUCGGCUAACUCCGUGCCAGCAGCCGCGGUAAUACGGGGGAUGCAAGCGUUAUCCGGAUUUAUUGGGUUUAAAGGGUGCGUAGGCUGUGAGGUAAGUCAGCGGUGAAAUGCCCCCGCUCACCGGGGUGAAGUGCCAUUGAUACUGCCUGGCUGGAAUGCGGAUGCCGUGGGAGGAAUGUGUGGUGUAGCGGUGAAAUGCAUAGAUAUCACACAGAACACCGAUUGCGAAGGCAUCUCACGAAUCCGCGAUUGACGCUGAUGCACGAAAGCGUGGGUAUCAAACAGGAUUAGAUACCCGAGUAGUC